GGGUUGUGAGGUUAAGCGACUAAGCGUACACGGUGGAUGCCCUGGCAGUCAGAGGCGAUGAAGGACGUGCUAAUCUGCGAUAAGCGCCGGUAAGGUGAUAUGAACCGUUAUAACCGGCGAUUUCCGAAUGGGGAAACCCAGUGUGAUUCGUCACACUAUCAUUAACUGAAUCCAUAGGUUAAUGAGGCGAACCGGGGGAACUGAAACAUCUAAGUACCCCGAGGAAAAGAAAUCAACCGAGAUUCCCCCAGUAGCGGCGAGCGAACGGGGAGGAGCCCAGAGCCUGAAUCAGCAUGUGUGUUAGUGGAAGCGUCUGGAAAGGCGCGCGAUACAGGGUGACAGCCCCGUACACAAAAGCGCAUGUGCUGUGAGCUCGAUGAGUAGGGCGGGACACGUGGUAUCCUGUCUGAAUAUGGGGGGACCAUCCUCCAAGGCUAAAUACUCCUGACUGACCGAUAGUGAACCAGUACCGUGAGGGAAAGGCGAAAAGAACCCCGGCGAGGGGAGUGAAAAAGAACCUGAAACCGUGUACGUACAAGCAGUGGGAGCACCCUUCGGGGUGUGACUGCGUACCUUUUGUAUAAUGGGUCAGCGACUUAUAUUCUGUAGCAAGGUUAACCGUAUAGGGGAGCCGGAGGGAAACCGAGUCUUAAUUGGGCGUUAAGUUGCAGGGUAUAGACCCGAAACCCGGUGAUCUAGCCAUGGGCAGGUUGAAGGUUGGGUAACACUAACUGGAGGACCGAACCGACUAAUGUUGAAAAAUUAGCGGAUGACCUGUGGCUGGGGGUGAAAGGCCAAUCAAACCGGGAGAUAGCUGGUUCUCCCCGAAAGCUAUUUAGGUAGCGCCUCGUGAAUUCAUCUCCGGGGGUAGAGCACUGUUUCGGCUAGGGGGCCAUCCCGGCUUACCAACCCGAUGCAAACUGCGAAUACCGGAGAAUGUUAUCACGGGAGACACACGGCGGGUGCUAACGUCCGUCGUGAAGAGGGAAACAACCCAGACCGCCAGCUAAGGUCCCAAAGUCAUGGUUAAGUGGGAAACGAUGUGGGAAGGCCCAGACAGCCAGGAUGUUGGCUUAGAAGCAGCCAUCAUUUAAAGAAAGCGUAAUAGCUCACUGGUCGAGUCGGCCUGCGCGGAAGAUGUAACGGGGCUAAACCAUGCACCGAAGCUGCGGCAGCGAACGUAUCACCCAAGACAACUUUACGGAGUUGACGAUUGACGGAGCGAAGCGACGUCAAAGCGUUCAUUAAAGUCGAGUUGGCUUAGGGAUACGUUCGUUGGGUAGGGGAGCGUUCUGUAAGCCUGUGAAGGUGUGUCGUGAGGCAUGCUGGAGGUAUCAGAAGUGCGAAUGCUGACAUAAGUAACGAUAAAGCGGGUGAAAAGCCCGCUCGCCGGAAGACCAAGGGUUCCUGUCCAACGUUAAUCGGGGCAGGGUGAGUCGACCCCUAAGGCGAGGCCGAAAGGCGUAGUCGAUGGGAAACGGGUUAAUAUUCCCGUACUUGGUGUUACUGCGAAGGGGGGACGGAGAAGGCUAUGUUGGCCGGGCGACGGUUGUCCCGGUUUAAGCGUGUAGGUGUGUGUUCCAGGUAAAUCCGGUUCACUUUAACACUGAGGCGUGACGACGAGGCACUACGGUGCUGAAGCAACAAAUGCCCUGCUUCCAGGAAAAGCCUCUAAGCAUCAGGUAACACGAAAUCGUACCCCAAACCGACACAGGUGGUCAGGUAGAGAAUACCAAGGCGCUUGAGAGAACUCGGGUGAAGGAACUAGGCAAAAUGGUGCCGUAACUUCGGGAGAAGGCACGCUGACACGUAGGUGAAGUGAUUUACUCAUGGAGCUGAAGUCAGUCGAAGAUACCAGCUGGCUGCAACUGUUUAUUAAAAACACAGCACUGUGCAAACACGAAAGUGGACGUAUACGGUGUGACGCCUGCCCGGUGCCGGAAGGUUAAUUGAUGGGGUCAGCGUAAGCGAAGCUCCUGAUCGAAGCCCCGGUAAACGGCGGCCGUAACUAUAACGGUCCUAAGGUAGCGAAAUUCCUUGUCGGGUAAGUUCCGACCUGCACGAAUGGCGUAAUGAUGGCCAGGCUGUCUCCACCCGAGACUCAGUGAAAUUGAACUCGCUGUGAAGAUGCAGUGUACCCGCGGCAAGACGGAAAGACCCCGUGAACCUUUACUAUAGCUUGACACUGAACAUUGAGCCUUGAUGUGUAGGAUAGGUGGGAGGCUUUGAAGUGUGGACGCCAGUCUGCAUGGAGCCGACCUUGAAAUACCACCCUUUAAUGUUUGAUGUUCUAACGUGGACCCGUAAUCCGGGUUGCGGACAGUGUCUGGUGGGUAGUUUGACUGGGGCGGUCUCCUCCUAAAGAGUAACGGAGGAGCACGAAGGUUGGCUAAUCCUGGUCGGACAUCAGGAGGUUAGUGCAAUGGCAUAAGCCAGCUUGACUGCGAGCGUGACGGCGCGAGCAGGUGCGAAAGCAGGUCAUAGUGAUCCGGUGGUUCUGAAUGGAAGGGCCAUCGCUCAACGGAUAAAAGGUACUCCGGGGAUAACAGGCUGAUACCGCCCAAGAGUUCAUAUCGACGGCGGUGUUUGGCACCUCGAUGUCGGCUCAUCACAUCCUGGGGCUGAAGUAGGUCCCAAGGGUAUGGCUGUUCGCCAUUUAAAGUGGUACGCGAGCUGGGUUUAGAACGUCGUGAGACAGUUCGGUCCCUAUCUGCCGUGGGCGCUGGAGAACUGAGGGGGGCUGCUCCUAGUACGAGAGGACCGGAGUGGACGCAUCACUGGUGUUCGGGUUGUCAUGCCAAUGGCACUGCCCGGUAGCUAAAUGCGGAAGAGAUAAGUGCUGAAAGCAUCUAAGCACGAAACUUGCCCCGAGAUGAGUUCUCCCUGAGACUUAGAGUCUCCUGAAGGAACGUUGAAGACGACGACGUUGAUAGGCCGGGUGUGUAAGCGCAGCGAUGCGUUGAGCUAACCGGUACUAAUGAACCGUGAGGCUUAACCUUACAACGCCGAAG
rnacentral:rRNA from 5 species